rnacentral:rRNA from 1 species
CAGCCGCCGCGGUAAUACGGAGGGUGCAAGCGUUAAUCGGAAUUACUGGGCGUAAAGCGCACGCAGGCGGUUUGUUAAGUCAGAUGUGAAAUCCCCGAGCUUAACUUGGGAACUGCAUUUGAAACUGGCAAGCUAGAGUCUUGUAGAGGGGGGUAGAAUUCCAGGUGUAGCGGUGAAAUGCGUAGAGAUCUGGAGGAAUACCGGUGGCGAAGGCGGCCCCCUGGACAAAGACUGACGCUCAGGUGCGAAAGCGUGGGGAGCAAACAGGAUUAGAGACCCGAGUAGUCCCUGUCUAUUAUAC